GGUUCUACUAGAAUCACAUCCUUUUGGGGAAAGGGGGGAAAUCAACCAAAAAGAGCAAGGCAGAACAAGGCAGGAGAUCCAAGCGGCAGGCUUCUUCUAAUGUGCACUACUUUUAAACCCAGAGGUGCCUUUGGUGUGGAAAUUCCAUGGAAGCAGGGUUUCCUAGCAACAACAAGAUAACAGAUGACAUCAUGGCCCACAAAGUAGAUGAGCAGAGUUAUCUAACAGACAGCAGAUGCUUCUUCCUCCCCCAUCCCAAUCCCAAUCCCCACUCUCUUCCAAAACCCCAUUUUUUAAAAAAGAAGAGGAAAGAAAAUCUCUAGUGGAUCUUAUAUUACAGUGGCCAGAGCAGAAGAGUUUACAAAGCAACACCCCAAGAAAUCUCCAGCUGCACAGAAGACAGGAAGAUUUCCACAGUUAGAUUAUAUAUAGCCAAAUUACACAAAGAAGCUAGAGGAAGAUGCAGAAAUGAAUGGCAUCUAUUUAAUUUCUUAAGUAGCAUCAUUCACUGCAGAACCCAAAUCAUCUGGAAUAAAAUCUUAGGUGAAGAUGAAAUAAUUAAA